CUUUGUCUACUCCACCAUAAUGGGAAACACCUACCCCUACAGCUUCCAUCCCUUAGUGCUGGCAUCAUUUGCUCUUUUAAGUCUUAUCUGACUUCCUCCAUUCAUUCCCGGGUAGAGUUUUAAGCUCCCUUCUUUAUACUUCAUCUCUAAUUUGCUUCUAUCAUAGUGCUUACAACACUUACACAUUCUAUUUGUUUGUAUAUUUCCUCCUAAGAAAAUCAUUAAUUCUUUAAGGAUGAGGACUAUCUUAGUCAUCACUCUACCCCUAGUAUCUAGCCCAGUGCCUGACACUAAAUUAAAGUAAUUUUUAAAUUAGCAAAUAAAUGGCUGAAUGAGACAUGCUUAUGACUCUAUUUUUUCUUAUAGCACAUGAAGCAUUUCACUGCAGAAAUUAUUGACAGUCUUCUCUGUGCACAUCACCAUCCAUUAACUGGGGUUCUGGGAUAUACAGCAGCUCAACAUACAGGUUAAUACUUGGUAAAUUACAUCCUUUCCAAAAAGCAAGUCAUGCCAGACUGCACAGAGAAAAGGAAAGACACCAUGAAGAGAGGUCAGUAGUGGACGGCUCAUAGCCCUGAAAGUCCCAGUUCAAGCUUCCACAAUCAUCCUACACAAGAGCACUGCUUCUCACAGGACUGCCUCAGCCUGGCAGGAUUCAGUCUCCUGCUCUGAGGGAAAAACAGGAAGUCAAGGAUCAAGACCGAGUGCUCAACUGAGAUCAGAAAGGAGGACACACAGUGACUUGGCCAAAUCACUGGAGAUUCACACAGCAGAGCUCAGACGAGUGCUAUCAGCACAGCUGAGGAAGACAACAGUUAGGGGAAUCAGUGAAGUGAGCUCCCAGCUACCGCCUCGAGAGGCUGCUAUUGACAAUCUCCUGUCUGGCCAAACAACUUCCUUUCUACAACUUUGCCUGGGCGAAUGGCAGUAGGAAAACACCACCAACAAAUUGGAAAUUGCCACAUCAUUCACAUCGGUUUUCCUCUACUGAAUCCAAUCCCUGCUUUCAAGAAGAAAGAAGUGGUAGUACAAUACAAUCUCAGCAUUCUGUAAUCUGGCUUGAAUGUGACUGUGCAAGGAUCCUGAAAGAGAAACAUUGGUUGUGUUUUUAUUCCUUGGGUAUAAGAAUCCUGAAAGAGAAAGGCAUCUGAACCUUGGAGGCAUGGGGUUCAUCUCAUCCUCAUCCAGCCUGUGAUGAUGGAGCUGUUUUCACCAGAAACGUGAGGAGACUCAUACCACUUGAGGUAGUGUGGAUGUGUGGCACAGUUUUGGAGAGGGCUAUUCCCCUACCUUUACAUGGAAUCCAGUAACUCUCUGAAAACAUAGCAAUGGCAAAAGUCCUUUUCGAGACUGCAAGGAAAACAAACAACUACCAAGAGAAGUCCAAGCAUCAGGGAAAGAAUGAAGUGGUGUGGAGACCAUAGCCAAUAGCUGCUUUAUGAGCACAUUUGUGGCUACCCUUGGGGACCCAAGAAAUAACCGGAACUAUUUGUUGGAGUGCCAGAUUAUUUAAGGGCCUUUGCAUGUUUCAAGUCCUCUUCUUAAAGUAAGAAUACUCUCCACAUUUAUAACAGCAACAAAAACACCAAUGUCAGCACAAAAUGCAAAAACGGAGGCACUUCUAUGUCAUAAUGAUACAUCAGAGUUCUGCUCAACUCUUUUUUAGAAAAAGAAGCUCAGACUUACACACAUCCACUUUCUUAAAUAAAUAAUUGUUCAAUGAAAGUUACCCUGGGAGGAUUGCUGUCUCCAGCUCCCAAGCACUGCUCAUCUGCUGACGGGGGGUACUCUGUGACUGUUACAGAAAUUGCUCUUAAAUGCAUAAAACACAGAAGAGAAUUUUUGGAAAAUCCCUUAUUAUUCAUUAAAGCAUUUUAGGGCCUCAUUAAUCCAGAUGGGUUAAUCGGUUGUUGAUUUGCCAGGUUGUUAAGCAUCCAUUGUCAGAUGCUGAUGGGGUGUGAGAAAAUAUAAUUCCGAUCUACCAAAGAGUCACCUGAAUGAGGCUAGCACUUCAUCAGGGAAGGCUGUAUCUUCCUCAGGGAAGGCUGUGUCUUCAUCAGGGAAGGCUGUAUCUUCCUCAGAGAAGGCUGUAGCUUCCUCAGAGAAGGGUGUAUCUUUACCAGGGAAGGCUAUGUCUUCAUCAGGGAAGGCUGUAUCUUCCUCAGAGAAGGCUGUAUCUUCACCAGGGAAGGCUGUAUCUUCAUUACGGAAGGCAGUAUCUUCUGGGGAUAAAUUAAGCUGGGCAUCCAGCUUCUUCUUUAAUUUCCAAAACUUCUCUGUAUCACAAAACAUUCCUCAUUCUUUGGGUGUUUUUUUUUUGUUUUUUUGUUUUUUUUUUUUUUGCCUACCUAAGGUCUGAAAUGAUGUCAGAAGCCAUUUUCAAAAGCUAGUUCGUAACAGGUCAACAGGUCAGUCGCACAUAUGCACUUAGGCACAGAAGCCCAACAUUUAAAGAUGUUUGUGUGUACGUGUCUGUAUACGUGUAUACACAUCUGUGUAUAUGUUUGUGUCUACACAUGUAUACACGUCUAGGCGUAUAUGUUUGUGUCUACACGUCUGUGUAUAUGUUUGUGUCUACAUGUGUCUAUGUGUUUGUCUAUAUGUCCAUAUGCGUAUAUUUGUGUGUGUCUGCGUGUGUGUGCAUGAGUUUGGCUUUGACUUUGUUUCAAAGUUCUUAGCUAGAGCCUGUCCACAUCUUCAGCCCUUCAGACACAAAUGGUAUUCAGGUUAUCAAGGGGAUUCUUUAGCCAGGGCUUAAAAACUCAACUUUCUUUCUUUCCAAACCUUGACUGACUGAGAGUCACAUAACAGCAGUGAGCACAGUGAGAAAAGUCCCUGGAUUAGAAGUUGGAAAAUAUGAUUCAGGGUCCUGGUUCUGUUUUAAGAGAGGAAGUGACCAUCAUUAG
rnacentral:lncRNA from 1 species